CCUACGGGAGGCAGCAGUGGGGAAUAUUGGGCAAUGGGCGCAAGCCUGACCCAGCAACGCCGCGUGAAGGAAGAAGGCUUUCGGGUUGUAAACUUCUUUUCUCAGGGACGAAGCAAGUGACGGUACCUGAGGAAUAAGCCACGUCUAACUACGUGCCAGCAGCCGCGGUAAUACGUAGGUGGCAAGCGUUAUCCGGAUUUACUGGGUGUAAAGGGCGGGUAGGCGGGAAAGCAAGUCAGAUGUGAAAACCAUGGGCUCAACCUGUGGCCUGCAUUUGAAACUGUUUUUCUUGAGUACUGGAGAGGCAGACGGAAUUCCUAGUGUAGCGGUGAAAUGCGUAGAUAUUAGGAGGAACACCAGUGGCGAAGGCGGUCUGCUGGACAGCAACUGACGCUGAGGCGCGAAAGCGUGGGGAGCAAACAGGAUUAGAUACCCCUGUAGUC
rnacentral:rRNA from 1 species